rnacentral:lncRNA from 1 species
UUUUCAAUUCUUUGUGAAGCAGUUUGAAUGGCACAACAUCAAAGGAGAAAUAUUAUGCUCAUAUUCAGGUUGAUAAUUUUAAUGUGGGUUAUGACUUGAAAAGGUUUACAUGUUCUAAUGUUCAGUAAACACAUCAGUUUCCUGCAGCUCCUCUUGGUUUUAGGUCAUGUCUCUUUAAGGCCCCUGCCUCCCGAUGAAGCCCAGUCUACUCUGAUUGGCCAGCUGGCUCCACUCUGUUGUGAUUGGUCAACCGCUUCCAGCGUGAGUAGGAAGUUGACUCGCUCUCACUUGUUGCGGGUGGGCAUAUCAGACUAGCGGCUAGAUAUGAUUGAUGCACUUCCGUAACAUCGUGACAUCACAGUUAUUCUGUGAUGCCUCCGUUGUCCUCAAGUGAGAAGCAAUUGAAGAAGAGUGAAAUGCAGUUGAAAGCUCUGGUGUCCACGGCGGCGAGGAGGCGGCGAGGAGGCGGAGUUCAUUGGUGUGUAAUAAAAGUAAGCUCUGGAGGAAAAUGUGACAGAUGUGGAGGAGGGCCCGUAUGUGCCAGCGAGGGGAAAGCGAGAGUGGGGACUGUCAGACAUGUCGACUCCGGCGCAGUGAUGGAUGGAGAGUGAGGUAAGACGGAUGACAUCGUCUGUCUGAGGCCAUGUUGUCAUAGCGGAGGAUUGCCGCUUGUCUCAACCUCUCAAUAUCAGAGAGCAAACUGAAGUUUGUUUACACUGCUCCAGUGGAGUGAUUUAGAAUGAGGGGCGAGGGGGACGUGGGUGGAGAAGGUAUGCCUCGCUGCAGGGUCGGAUCAGGUUUCCAAACAUUCCCUUUGAAAUCGAAUAGCAGCCAUCCCGGGCCUGCCGUUUUUUGUGUUUUUUUUCUAACUCAACCAGCCACAGUUCGGUUUACAAUCCUCAGAGGUAGAGACGAGUCCAAACACAAACACAAACAAGAGAGAAAAUGAAAAUAUCAAUAUCACUCAUUUGGUCUUUUACAUCCCAACAUUAGUCAUCAGCAUCCAAAUCUGGAUUCUGGCCAGUGAAACAAUGAAAAAAAGGGAAAAUAAGAAUUUGAGUGAAUUGCUGCCUCUAGUUUGACAAGGAGCCAAAAUAAAGGGAAAAAAAGUAGAGCAGCUUCUUUUGUGUUAUUAGUUCAUGUCAAGAAGAUUAUUAUCUCCCUGUGAAGGUAAGUGAAACACGUCCAUGUAGUCUUUUAAGGUUUGCAUCCUUUAUAUGUAAUGCUCAGUUUCAAAAAGGCAUCAUGGGAAAUGGCCUUUUCAAACCAAGUCCACAGCUGAUUGAUUUACGGUGUAAACAAUAAGACGUCCUGGUGAAAUGAUAAAAAAAGUGACAACAUCCCCGGAGAUGAACUCGCUGAACACUGUUCAUGACAACAUGGAGGUG